GCAUAUCAAUAAGCGGAGGAAAAGAAACUAACAAGGAUUCCCCUAGUAACUGCGAGUGAAGCGGGAAAAGCUCAAAUUUAAAAUCUGGCGGGUUCCCCGUCCGAGUUGUAAUCUGGAGAAGCGUUUUCCGUGUCGGACCGUGUACAAGUCCCUUGGAAUGGGGCGUCAUAGAGGGUGAGAAUCCCGUCCAUGACACGGACUACCGAUGCUUUGUGAUACGCUCUCGAAGAGUCGAGUUGUUUGGGAAUGCAGCUCAAAAUGGGUGGUAAAUUCCAUCUAAAGCUAAAUAUUGGCGAGAGACCGAUAGCGAACAAGUACCGUGAGGGAAAGAUGAAAAGCACUUUGGAAAGAGAGUUAAACAGUACGUGAAAUUGUUGAAAGGGAAACGCUUGAAGUCAGUCGCGUCCGUCGAGACUCAGCCUUGCCUUUGGGCCUGGUGUAUUUCUUGGUGGACGGGUCAACAUCGAUUUUGAAUGGCAGAUAAAGGUCUGGAGAAUGUGGCACCUCCGGGUGUGUUAUAGCCCCUCUCCGUAUAUGCUGUUUGGGAUCGAGGAACGCAGCACGCCCUUGUGGCCGGGGUUUUACCCACGUACCGUGCUUAGGAUGUUGGCAUAAUGGCUUUAAGCGACCCGUCUUGAAACACGGACC
rnacentral:rRNA from 1 species